GACGAACGCUGGCGGCGCGCUUAACACAUGCAAGUCGAGCGAUAACCAUGGCUUCGGCCAUGGGGACAGCGGCGAACGGGUGAGUAACACGUGGGCAAUCUGCCCUCGGCACUGGGAUAGCCCGGGGAAACCCGGAUUAAUACCGGAUAGCCUCUCGAGCUCUCGGGCUCGUGAGAAAAGAUAGCUUCGGCUUUCGGCUGAGGAGGAGCCUGCGGCGGAUAGCUUGUUGGCGGGGUAACGGCCCACCAAGGCGACGAUCCGUAGCUGGUCUGAGAGGACGAUCAGCCACACUGGGACUGAGACACGGCCCAGACUCCUACGGGAGGCAGCAGUGGGAAUCUUGCGCAAUGGGCGAAAGCCUGACGCAGCGACGCCGCGUGAGGGAAGAAGGCCUGG
rnacentral:rRNA from 1 species